UGACAUAAUUUUUUCUCUACACCUCAACAGUGCUGUUAUUUAAAGGCAUUUAGCUAGCUAGCUAGCUAUAAAGGAACGUUUGAAUAUCACCUGAAGCACUGAAGUCUACCUAUCAACUUUCUUUACAGCUCAGAGUCAGAUGGGGUUAUAAUUGUCUACAUGUAUUGAGACACGACUGUCAUCUUGAAGAUACUGGCACCUUCGCCACCUACUACUGAGCUGCUCCACUUUAGAGUUCAUCGACACACUGUGGACAUGUGCGGCUCGUACAGCAGCUGUGACACGUGUACCUCCUCCCCCGACCCAGUGUGUGGGUGGUGUGUACUACAAGGACGCUGUACACGACAAUCUCUCUGCCCUCCUGUACCAGAUAAGAAUAGUCGAUGGCAAAUGCCUGUCAUCACUAUAACAACACCCCAGCUAAUAUAUUACCGCGAGUUCACUUAUCUAGUAUAUGUAGUGUACAAUGAUUCCCCCUCCCACAUCACAGCUACCAACGCUAUUGGACGCCAUAUACGAUUAUCAGAA